CUCGCUCAGGGCGUGCUGCGGGUUCCAGCCGUAAAACGACCUUCAGAACCCAAGGUGACCU
rnacentral:rRNA from 1 species